rnacentral:lncRNA from 1 species
CUCCCAUGCAGUUCAAGUUUAACAUAUCUUAUUUUUUUUUGUCUUUGUUUAUAGAGAGGGGGUUUCGCCAUGUUGCCCGGGCUGGUCUUGAAAUCCUGAACUCAAGUGAUACGCCUGCCUCAGCCUCCCAAAGUGCUGGAAUUACAGGCAUGAGCCACCACACCAGGCCUAGCUUAAAAUAUCUUUGAAAAGAAUAUUUUCAAGUAUGUUAGCAAGUGUUUCUGAAUGGAAUGUUUGUGCAAAGUAUAUCAGCAAAACGAAGCCACAGUCUUAGCCACACUGGACGUCAUUGUCAAUGAAGAGAAGACUAAACAGGGAGUGGGAGUAAAAGCAACACCUGCUCCUGAAGAACCAACUAUCAGAGUCUUCAUCUUUCCCAAGGAAAAGCAUGUGAGUAGACACUUAAGAUGUUUUAAUUGCUGUAAUUCAGGUACAUAUUUUUAAAAGUGAAAUAUUAAUAGUAUCCUGGACUUUUAGGAACCUCCUCUGCCUGCCACUGCUGUUUUCCAUUUCAUGGCAGCAGGUGGCUUUGAAAAUGUUAGCUGCUUUUUCCGUAUUUACUGUCGCCUUUCUAAGUAGACUGUUUACCCGGGUCUAUCUUUACUUUUCAAGUUCAGACACGUCACUGGUUUUCUGCUGCCCCUUUUGGCUCCAUUCCACGUGCGUCCAUACAAACCGGCUGCUGCACCUGGAGGCUGAGCAGCCACAGCGUCACUGAGUCAGAGCCCCGUCUACACCAUCACGACGGCAGUGUGGCGUCUGCACAGAGAUGAAUUGCUCCGUGUGUAUAAUGACACGGAUUUCAUUGUACACUGUUUUUUUUUUCUUUCCUCAAGCUCAUUGUCUCACGCUCAUGUUUAAUGAGUGUCCUAUAUGAUUGUCACUCAUUUUGACAAAAAUCUCAGAAAAAAAAGAAACAACAAUAUAAACCCCUCCUGACUUGAUUGUACACACUCAUCCGAAAAUUAAUCUGCUUCGUUUUUUUUCGCCUUGCAGAUACAUUUCUCUUGGCUUUCUGCUGUACUCCGGGCUGGCGGUUAUCAGCCCUGCUGCUGUGAUGGUCAACAUUGAGUGUCAACUUGAUUGGACUGAAGGAUGAAGUACUGUUCCUUGGUGUGUCUGUGAGGAGCAUGUUGAUUUGGCAAAGAACAAUUUGGUAAAUUCUAAGAAACGGGUCAUUCCAGGUCCUCUAAGAUAACCGGGGUACUUUUCUUGACCAUUAUCCAAGGCUUCUUAUCCAAGGCUUCUCCUGGCCUUUGUCUAAAUGGAAAACAGGUGUUUUCAGGGCCCACACAGGGCUUCCAGGGCACAGCAGGACACUGGGUAAGCGGGAGAUGGAAACGUCAUCCCUUAUGGUCAUAGGCGAGUUUGUGGGACCCUAACACUUUGAAGCCAUGUGAUCACAUCACCGUCAUAUUUUAAAUCAGACCUGCCUAUUUCCGCCUCUCAGUUUGCCUGUCUGAACAUUUCUGUUGUCUUUUUUUCUAAAUGUCUUUCUUAACACAUUGGUUUAAUACAAACAGUUACAUCUCCU